rnacentral:rRNA from 1 species
GACGAACGCUGGCGGCGUGCUUAACACAUGCAAGUCGAACGAAGUGGCGAACGGGUGAGUAAUACGUGAGUAACCUGCCCUCCUUUUUGGGAUAAGCCUUGGAAACGGGGUCUAAUACCGCAUAAAGGGGGAUGGGCUCGCGGCCUAUCAGCUGGUUGGUGGGGUGAUGGCCUACCAAGGCGGUGACGGGUAGCCGGCCUGGGAGGGUGACCGGCUGAAUGAGGACUGGGAUACGGCCCAGAGUCAUACGGGAGGCAGGAGUGGGGGAUAAUGCACAAUGGGCGAAAGCAGGAUGCAGCGACGACGCGUGGGGGAUGAAGGCUUUCGGGUUGUAAACCUCUUUCGCUAUCGAAGGGGUAGGUGGAGAAGAAGCGCCGGCUAACUACGUGCCAGCAGCCGCGGUAAUAC